GCAAGAUAAACCCCAGUGACACACAUUGCUUCUGCAAAAGAAAGUAUAUAAGCCAAGAUGCUUUAACAGAAAAAAAGAGAGAAAAACGCGCCUACUUCUUGUUUCUUGCUCACACACGAAGACGGAGAGUUCUUUUAACCUUUAGGGUUUGAACGAUAUAACUGCUUUUAUUGUUUUUAUAUUCAAUUUUUGUAAACCUUUUCGCUUUUUUAUAUAAAUAAAAAUUCUCCUUUUUGGGGAACAAAAGACCAUUUGUUUCCGGGGGAUUCCUUUCCACUGAGGGGCCUCCUCCCAGGGGCUGAAUGACAAGAACACCGCUUCGAAACCUGCAGACACCGAUUACGCCCAAAAGAUGCCAAACAUACCGGACAUGGACAGCGAUGGAACAGACCCGAAAAAGGUUAAUAAACCCGACCUUCAAGGAGAGGCCUCGCCACGCAGCCGCAAGAAAAGACUCACUGAACUCAUGAAGCGGGUAUCGUAUAAACUCACCAGAUUAAUGUUGGUCAUCAUCCUACUCAACAUCAUCACCCUGAUAGCCAAUCUAAGAGUGGUGGCGUGGAAGGUCAAGGUAACUCACACCACACACCAAGGCAACGUCAUGCAUUACUAUUACAAAACAGGACGCAUUCUGGUUUCCGAUCACACAUUUCUUACCACUAGCAAUAUAAGCACCACGGUCAAAAACGGACCUACCCUCAUGUCUAAAUUACCAAAUCAAAAUCUAGUACUGGAUCCCAAGUACGAGGGAGCCUUAACAUCUAUUAUUUGGAAAACAGACGGCGACCGGGUUGUAGAACGGUUUGAAGACACCUCAAGUGCGUCUGAGGACUAUCGGGGCUUUAAAAACCGAAAUGCUAUACUCAAUGUCAC
ensembl:lncRNA